UACGGGGGGGCAAGCGUUGUUCGGAAUUACUGGGCGUAAAGGGCUCGUAGGCGGCCAACUCAGUCGGACGUGAAAUCCCUCGGCUUAACCGGGGAAUGGCGUCCGAUACUGGAUGGCUUGAGUUUGGGAGAGGGAUGCGGAAUUCCAGGUGUAGCGGUGAAAUGCGCAGAUAUCAGGAGGAACACCGGUGGCGAAGGCGGGUCUCUGGGCCGAUACUGACGCUGAGGAGCGAAAGCGUGGGGAGCGAACAGG
rnacentral:rRNA from 1 species